UUUCUAGGGGUGGGUUUAUAAAAUUGAUUUUUCGAUUCGAAUCAAUCUUUAUUUGAACGAUCCGAUAUCGAUUCAUAUAAACUCGAGAUCGAUCUUUUAAAUACGCCCCUUUUUUACGGUGCACACGGAAAUCUGUUACCCCCUUUAAUCUCGCGUGACCAGCCAGUGUUUUUUUGCGCAACGAGAUCUGACCUGCACAUCAGUUCAGCAUGGCAGAAGCUCAAGUUAUGCCUGGUUCACACUACAUGAUUCUAGCCCUGAUUUUCGCUCGGUGACGGGUCGGUGCUGGAUUCGGGAGGAACUCGGUGUUCGCUCUGCGAUCAAAACUCGGCUCUCAAUCAAUGUGAGAAACAGCGAGGGGAAACACAGGGGCGAGGUUGUAAACAGGUGGUUCAGGAGCGCAAUAUAGUUUCUAUCAGAAUACAUCAGCACACGCGAGUUUUACAGUAUUUCUGACCUGAUCGUUCUCUACAAAACAAAAUAUUUAUUAACCUCCAACUCACUAUAGAACAAGCCAUGCUGCUCGUGUUGCCAAAUCCACUCAGAUUCAUUUAUUUCAUCGGCGCACAAACUUUCAUCUCUCGCUACUUGUUGAUGUGCAUGUUUGGACGUGGUAUCAUUAAACCUUUCAUCACUUCUCACGUGUGUUUUCGUGACAGAACGUAGUUUUGGAGAGCAGAGAAGCUCACCUGUGAUUCCCCCUGGUGAUAGAUGGUGUAGUGUAAAACCCCCCAUCGCCGAUCAGUCGUGUAGUGUGAACAUUACAGCGACCAGGUGUUAAUCAGAGUGUCGUGUCGUGUAAACUUGGCAUAAGCUGUUCAACAGCCAGGUGUAUGUUUACAUUACAUUUACAAUGUUGUAGCGUGUCAGACAUAUAAAAUAAUAAUAAAAAAUGAAUGUUACUGUUUUCUGUUUUGGAGUAAUUAUUUAUGUAAACAAAAUACACAAAUAUUUUUAUUAAUGAAAAUAUUAUGUUCUUUGUACAAUUAUCACAUUCGUUCUCUGAACAUCUGUACAUAUUUAAACAAAACCUGUUAAUGUAACUCAAAUAUGCCUAAAUGUGUUGAAUCGAAAUCGAAUCGAAUCGAAUCGGGACCUUGUGAAUCGAAUCGAAUCGAUCCAGGAAAUUAGUGGCGAUACCCAGCCCUACUCUUUUCCAGACAUCAUUUAUUUCAUAUAACUGAUUUGGCUGAAACACUUAAAGUAAAUCAUUAAAAUACCUUUAUACAUUUAGUCAUUUUUAGGUAUAUUAAGGUCUUGCUUGAUGAUUUGAAGGUAUUUGUGAUUUUUCUGUGUGUGUGUUAUUUUUUCUUACAUGUUUACACAGGGAAGAGGUUUAGGAGUCAAACAGAGGACGGCGUGGAUGAACCAGAUAACCGUCUCAAUAAUUCUCCAAAUCUCAAGACCUUAUCCACCAUGGCCAAACUGGAAGACUGGGUCUCUGAUCCUGAAAACAGCCAGAAACUGAUUGAUGACCUGGAGAAGAAGCUCAAACAGGGUGAAAUUGAGGCUUUGAAAGAUUCUCUGAAGGAUAAGAAGCUGAAAAAGAGUCUGUGUCUCACUGCUAAAGAGAUUAACGAGAUCAGACGUAAUCUAAAUAAUAAUAAUAAUAAAUAAGCGGUUUUAAAG